rnacentral:misc_RNA from 1 species
GAUGAAGAACGCAGCGAAAUGCGAUAAGUAAUGUGAAUUGCAGAAUUCAGUGAAUCAUCGAAUCUUUGAACGCACAUUGCGCCCGCCAGUAUUCUGGCGGGCAUGCCUGUCUGAGCGUCAUUUCAACCCUCAUGCCCCUAGGGCGUGGUGUUGGGGAUCGGCCAAAGCCCGCGAGGGACGGCCGGCCCCUAAAUCUAGUGGCGGACCCGUCGUGGCCUCCUCUGCGAAGUAGUGAUAUUCCGCAUCGGAGAGCGACGAGCCCCUGCCGUUAAACCCCCAACUUUCCAAGGUUGACCUCAGAUCAGGUAGGAAUACCCGCUGAACUUAAGCAUAUCAAUAGCGGAGGA